GACGAACGCUGGCGGCGUGCCUAAUACAUGCAAGUCGAGCGGACAGAAGGGAGCUUGCUCCCGGAAGUUAGCGGCGGACGGGUGAGUAACACGUGGGCAACCUACCCUGUAGAUCGGGAUAACAUCGAGAAAUCGGUGCUAAUACCGGAUAAUCAUUUGAAGUGCAUGCUUCUAAUGUAAAAGAUGGCUCCGGCUAUCACUACGGGAUGGGCCCGCGGCGCAAUAGCUGGUUGGUAAGGUAAUGGCUUACCAAGGCAACGAUGCGUAGCCGACCUGAGAGGGUGAUCGGCCACACUGGGACUGGGACACGGCCCAGACUCCUACGGGAGGCAGCAGUAGGGAAUCUUCCGCAAUGGACGAAAGUCUGACGGAGCAACGCCGCGUGAGUGGUGAAGGUUUUCGGAUCGUAAAGCUCUGUUGUUAGGGAAGAACAAGUGCCGUUUGAAUAAGGCGGCACCUUGACGGUACCUAACCAGAAAGCCACGGCUAACUACGUGCCAGCCGCCGCCGUAACAC
rnacentral:rRNA from 1 species